rnacentral:misc_RNA from 1 species
AAGUCGUAACAAGGUUUCCGUAGGUGAACCUGCGGAAGGAUCAUUAUCAUACGUAUACACGUAUAAACCAAUGUCGAACUCGUACAAGUCCGUUAGGUCUGGGUAUGGCUGAGGUUGGAAUCAUUCAAACAACUAUCACUUUUGUUUGAGGUGAUCAAAGUACCUCUGUGCCCUCUCCUAGCACGCGUAUUUCCAAUCAAACUUUGAACAUCUUUUCUUUUUACAUUUAACCUAUUUCACCCAAUCUUAUAACUGACCUAAAUACGAUCCGCUUCGAAAGGAGCACCGAUCGAAAAGAUACGAAACUUAAGAACAACUCUUAACAACGGAUAUCUUGACUCUC